rnacentral:rRNA from 1 species
UUAGGUGUCUAUUGCAUCGGGGUUCCACCUCUUCCCAUUCCGAACAGAGAAGUUAAGCCCGAUAGCGCCGAUGGUACUGCCUUUUUGGUGGGAGAGUAGGUCGACGCCAACU